UACAGAGGGGGCAAGCGUUGUUCGGAAUUACUGGGCGUAAAGGGCGCGUAGGCGGUCUUUUAAGUUCCGUGUGAAAUCCCUCGGCUCAACUGGGGAACGGCACGGGAAACUGGGAGGCUUGAGUUCGGGAGAGGGAAGCGGAAUUCCGGGUGUAGCGGUGAAAUGCGUAGAUAUCCGGAGGAACACCGGUGGCGAAGGCGGCUUCCUGGACCGACACUGACGCUGAGGCGCGAAAGCCAGGGGAGCAAACGGG
rnacentral:rRNA from 1 species